GUUUUAAUAGAGAGUUUAAGUUCGACUUCCAAUACCAAUACCGAUACCGAUUUUUUCACUUCCGUUCUCAUUUUGGUACCGGGAAUUUUAAAGCGUUAAGUUAUCACGACAGAUAAAGUAUAGAACACAUUAAACGUCACCGAAAAUGUGCGGUAUACUAAACGGCAGCUGAGCUAAAAUUCCGACUAAAACAUGACUCAGGCGAUGCUAAUAAACAAAUAGUUUACAUGUUUAUCGUAAAAAUUAUGAAAUAUCCGAUUUAUAUGAGUUUAUCUUACAAUUCCCCCGACUUCCA
rnacentral:lncRNA from 1 species